AGCGAAUCUUUUUGAAAGCACAGAGAUAAAUUUAUUUAAAGCUGGCAUUUUCACUGCUGCUACUGAGUCUGCUGCUGACUCUGCAAGUGACCUUGAGCAUGCAGAGAAUAGGACAUUUGGUGGUCAGGGAUCUAUCACAUCCCACAGAACUCUGGAAUGAGCUAGUCUCUGGUUUCCAACCUGGCAACCGCAGGGCACAGAGGCAACCCCUUCCCGCACUAUAACAAUAGAUUUGGAAUACCAAAUGGACUUUUCCUACAUACUAAACAAGUACCUCUCACAUCCAC
ensembl:lncRNA